rnacentral:rRNA from 1 species
CUCCUCUUGAAAUAUAAGAGGUACCGUCUGCUCAAUGCAAUUUGUAAAUAGCCGCAGUAUUCUGACUGUGCUAAGGUAGCAUAAUCAUUAGUCUUUUAAUUGAAGGCUGGUAUGAAUGACGAGACGAGAAAAUAGCUGUCUCUACAAUAAAUUUUGAAUUUUAUUUUUAAGUGAAAAAGCUUAAAUAAUUUUGAAGGACGAUCAGACCCUUUGGAGCUUUAUUUAUUUUAAAGUUUAAAUUUGUUUCAGAUUAUUGAAUGAAAAAUAAAUUUUGUUGGGGCGACAGGGAGUGAAAAAUAACACUCUUUUUUUAAAACAAUUUUAAUUGAAAAAUUGAUCCUUAAAGAGAGAUUAAAAGACUAAGUUACCCUAGGGAUAACAGCGUAAUCUUUUUGGAGAGUUCAAAUCGAUAAAAAGGUUUGCGACCUCGAUGUUGGAUUAAGAAAUUAGCAAGGUGCAGAAGUUUUGCUGGAGAGUCUGUUCGA